AAGCCCUCCCUCGAACGCCAGGCGCCCUUUCCUCAGGACGCGGAGAGCGGAGAGUGCUGAGCCAAGGUCGCAGAGCGGAGCAUUUGUUUCAGAUUCAUUCCUCGCCUGAGUGCUUUCUUCUCUUCAUCUAAUAUAUUUGAAAUUUUCUUUGGUCAACCUCUAAACACUCACGUUUCCUGAGGAGGAAGCCCGGAAGAGGAAGGAGAGGAAAGAAAAGGAGUCGGAAAUGGCUCUUUCUCAGGAACGGUUGACCUUUGAGGAUGUGGCCAUCGAAUUCACUGAGGAGGAGUGGGAAUGCCUGGACCCUGCUCAGAGGGCCUUGUACAGGGACGUGAUGGUGGAGACCUACAGGAACCUGAUCUCCCUGGGAUUUUGUAGCAGUUAAGAACUAAAGAACUAAACAUAUGCAGAGAGCAGCUCCUUGAAAGAGAAAAAGAAAUCGCUGAACUGAAAGCGGAAAGGAACACCACCAUCUGCAGCUCCUUGAAAAAGAAAUCGCUGAACUGAAAGCGGAAAGGAACACCACCAGGUCUGUGCAGGUCUGUUGCCAACACACCGCUUAGACCUGAGCGGCCGUGACAGUCGUGUGAGCCCACAGCGUGCAGAAGGCAGUUUUGAUCUUAGCGAUUUCCCAGAAGUGCUUAUUUCGUCCCUCAGCAAACAAGGCCGUUUAAGGAUUCUUUCCGUUAGAGGUCUUCUGAUGGUUCUCAUGAGGAAGACCCGGCCAAAGUGCCCGAGCUCCGGGAAAUCUCAGACGAGCAGCUGAGAGCAGAGCCAGAUGAAGGAGCUGGACGCCCGGCCGCCUUCGGUACUCACGUGACAGAGCAGGAGGAAGGUCUGUACACGGCCGGAGAAGACCUCAUCGUAUCUGAGGAAGUGAACACGAAAUUGCAAUGAGAUGUUUGUGAGCUGGUAUGUCAGAGACAGAAAACUCAUCUCCAGAUGUCUUGGGCCUCAGCAAAUUGGGAGGACAGGCUGAAAACAAUGAUAAGCUUCCAAAAAAACAAGAGUCUUUAGAGGUCGAUCCUGAAAGUGGAAAACAGGCUGUUUAAUGCUUGCAAUCAACACACCCCCUUCCUGAGUCACCACCACACACACAGGGAAGCCCUCAGCAUGUGGAACAGACGGUCCUCUGCUGCCCACCGUCCCAGGAGGGACUCAGGACAGAAAACUCCACACAGAGACCAACAAGAUUGUUCCUUGCAUUACCAAGUGUGUGACUGAGCCUCCGGUAAAAAUGAUGACUAGGCGACUUGAAACAAGUGACCAAAUCUAUAGUCUUAUAAGACCAAUGAUUUUAAUAGUGUAACUCUACAUAUGGGAAGAAGCAACAAGAGAGAACCAGCAACAAGAGAGAACCAUUUCCUGGACCACAACAGACUGGUGGACCACCACGCAGAGGCCUUUGGCUACUGUUGCAUUAGGGGCAGGGCGCGUGCGGGGCGUCGCCGGUGCAGUGUGGCAGUGGCCCUGUGGCCACAGUCUCCUCGGGCCGCAGUCCAGCUCCCAUUUGCCCACUCGCCCCCUUUGCCGGCGCAGUCACCAAGCCUGCAACAACCAACCACGCAGCACCCCUCCUCUGUAUAAAAGGAGCCCGAAAUCUGACCUGGGGGAAGAUGGCUUGUGGAGACACUGGUCCGCCAUCUUCUCCGAAUAAAAAGUCGCUCUGCCUUGCCCCAGCAACUCGCCUCUCAGUUUACUGGCCUGUCGUGCAGCAAGCAGAACGACCUUGGACUCUAUCAAUUUUGGCGAAGCCGGCCAGGAGCCUUGCUGCUUGUGGUCAGCCCCGGUUGGGGAAUUUUUGGGUAAAGCCCUAGCAGCUGCUGGGACCACCUGUCCUGAGGAUCUUCCCUUUAAAAUUCCCUGAAGCGGCACCAGAUGCCCCAGCACUUGGCAGUGGGAGCUCCGUACAGAUGGAAUCGACGGGCUCCAGACAGUAGGUGUGUCUGAUGUGUACAACUGGGAACAUACCACCCUCUCAAUUUCGGCUUUUCCUGUAAGGGAACAGCCAAGUUGUUUUGCAUUUGACUGGGGUACCCUGUUGCAGAGGGGAAUUUUUGUUGCAACUCUGUGAACCAGUUUGUUUGCUUUUGUUUUGCAUUCAUUCACGAUGGAAUUUGUGCCUUUUGUGUUUUGUUGCUCUUGAACUUGUAUCUGUCCCUAAGGAAAGCCCUUUGGGGCGUAUCUUAAAUGAAUGGGCAAAGUAUAGUUAUGGGCCUGUGACUAAAAAGAGAUGAUAUUCUAUUGUAUAGUGUGUGGCCCCAGUAUAUGUUAGGAUCAGGAGAGCAAGGUGCCCUGCUCACUUAUACAAUCUUGCAGUUAGAAUUGAGCAGGUAAAAAUGGUGAGAUUCCAUAUGUAGAAGCAUGUACACUAUUGCAUCAUGAGGAAAAGAAGUGAGACAGCUGCUGCCUUAUGGUACGGUGGUCUGAAAGGAAAACCGGGGGAAAAUCUGUUCUACAAGAGGGAGAGGGAGAAAAUGAGACUGAGGACAUGUUAUUUCAAAACACUGGCCAAGCAGGCUGCACCAGUGGUUGUUCCGACUGCCCCCAUGCCACCAACAUAUGCACUCCUUUCACCACCUCCUGUUUCCCCUACUUAUGGGGAUCAAUUAGAAGUUUCUGUGUUAACCUCUGGGGCACAGGGGCCUAGUUUGUGUCACCAUCUGUGACCCAGGAGGGCGUCCCAUUUGACCAGGAGCCACUUCUGGAGCACGCAGCUUCCCUUGCACUGAUAUCCUGGAGAGGAGGCCUUAAUGCAGAUGGCCAAUCAGCUGGGUUUCUAUGGACGCGCCAUCCAUUCUCAAUUUGAUUUAUUUAACUGGAAAAACCAUAACCUACAUACCUCCACGUGACUGAACUUUUCACUUCUAUCUUUGCCACUCACCAUCCCUCGUGGGCGGACAUUCACACUUUUAUGAAUAUCAUGCUUACUGGGGAUGAAAGGAGGAUGCUCUUUGACAAGACUAGAGAGGAAGUGCACUAGCUCCAUCUAGCGGACCAGGUGGAACUCCAGAAGCAAAUCAGGCAGUUCCUACUGCUGAGCCUGACUGGGAACCUAAUAACGGAGAUAUGCCGCACCUAGAGCAUUACAGGAAGUGUAUCUCAGUGGGUCUUCGAAAGGCAGUAGCUAGGCAAAAGAGCUUCAAAAUUCAAGAGAUCAAGAGAUACACCAAAACCCAAUGAGGACCCAUCAGAGUUUCUAGAAAGAAUUUAUCAAGCUUAUAGGCACUACACUGGUGCAGACCCUGAGGCCCCCAAAAUAUGGGAAUGGUAAAUAUGACCUUCAUUGGGCAAAGCGCCCCAGAUCUAAGAAGAAAAUUACAAAGCUAGAUGGUGCAUUUGGAAUGAACCCUUCUCAACUGGUAGAUGUUGUUUUAAAGUGUUCACCAACAGGGAACAACAAAAGGAGCUCUUUGCAAGACUUAACGCCACUCAUCUGGUGCCAGCACUGGAUUCCCGGAAGGCGAGUAGCCUGGAGAGAGGUGAGCCCCAUUGGGGAGGGAACAGUGUGCUUACUGUAGGAGGAAGGGCACUGGGAAAGACUGCGCUCAUCUAAGGAAUAAGAAGGAAAACCACAAAAGAAAGACGGGAGCCUCUCCUAUGGUAGAGAGAGCGCAACGCUCUGAAGAUGAAUAAAGCGGCCCAGGGGCUCCCUUGGACUUGAGGUGUCCAAUUCCAAUUUCCCCACAGGAGCCCCGGGUAACUUUGACAGUGGGGAACAACUUGAUUGACUUUCCGAUAGAUACCGGUGCAACAUACUCUGUGGUAAACAGCACGGUGGCACAGAAAACAUCUCAAUCCUUCCCAGUCACAGGAGUUUCUGGAGAAGGACAAAAUCUUUCGUUCCUAUAACCUCUAGAAUGCUAAUUAGGGGACCUCACCCUGAAACGCAGUUUCUUAUAUAUGCCGGUAUGUCUAAUCAGUCCCUCUUUUGUAAAUUAAGCACUCAAGCAACUUUUUCGCCAGAACAGCUUGACAUCAGGGUCCCACAGGAGCACACUGUAAGCCUAAAGAUGGCGCUCACAGACACCCCAGAAAAGGAGACUGAGCUCUCACCCACUCCACCCCCAUUCCCCCCGCUCCAGGUCUGUGAAAAGCUAAGGCACAAGUGUGAGUCGAUAGCACCCUAGGGAAGGCCAAAAAUGCAUGGCCAAUACAAAUCAUGUUAAAAAGGGACUCUGGAGGGAAUUCCCUGGUGGUCCACUGGUUAGGACUCGGUGCUUUCAUCGCGGUAGCCCGGGUUCGAUUUCUGGUCAGGGAACUAAGAUCCCGAUCCCGCAAGCUGCACAGUGUGGCAAAAAAAAAGGGAUGCGCUGGGACACCUAAUCGAAAACAAUACCCUCUGAGCCAAGGGGCCCAAAAGGGAAUUUAGCCAGUUCUCAAAAAGUUGGUUUAAUCAGGUUAAACCUUGCAGGUCCCCAUAUAAAACCCCUAUCCUCCUAGUCAAACAGCCAAACUCAACAGAGCAUCUCUUUGUCCCAGACUUGAGGGCUACUAAUGAAAAAAUCCAGGAUUUGCACCCUGUGGUACACAAUCCAUACGCUCUGCUCACAGCUAUUCCAGAAGCAAACAGCUGGUUCUGUUUUUGACGUGAAGGAUGCUUUUUUUCUGCAUUCCUAUUGCAGAAGAAUCACAGCAGCUGUUUGCUUUUGAAGGGCAGGACCCAGAAAGACAGGUAGUCCAACAGUAUUGGUGGACGGUCCUGCCUCAAGAUUUAAGGAUUCCCCUACCUUGUUUGGGGAAAUGUUGGCUGGGGACCUUAGAGACUUAAUAUUGGAUGAAGGACUCUUCCUCCAAAAUGUGGACCAUUUGCUCAUAGCGAACCCUAUGAAUGAUAAGUGUCUACAAAAUACCAUCAGCACCCUGAGUUAUUUGGCCAACUGUGGAUGUAAGGUCUCCCAGAAAAAGGCUCAAGUAUGUAAGCAACAAGUCACGUAGCUGGGUUUUAUCCUUUCCCAAGGGCAGCGGGGUCUUUUGCUUGAUAGAAAACGGGCAAUUGCAGGCUUGGGAACACCAAGAAUUGCAGAUAACAGGGCGUUUCUGGGAAUGGCAGGAUUCUAUCGGAUCUGGAUCCCGAACUAUAGGCUCAGAGUAAAGCCCCUCUAUAAGGCUUUAAAGGGACAUGAUUUUGAGCCCCUACUUGGACUAAGGAGUGCCAAACAGCCUUUGAAACAAUAAAAACAUAGUCAGUCUCAGCUCCGGCUUUGGGACAACCAGACUGAAAGAAACCUUUCAGAUUAUAUGUCCGUGAGAGACAGAUCUUGGGGUGUUAAUUCAAAUUCUGGGGAAUGUCCUUCGACCUGUUGCCUAAUUCUCAGGACAACUAGAACACACUAAGGGAUGGCCACUCUGCCUUUGAGCUGUAGCAGCUCCUUGCAACAGACUUCCGGAAGCUGAGCAGUUUACCGUGGGGAGCCCACCACUCUGUAUGUCUCUCACCCUGUCCUUUCUUUACUGGAACAAAAAGGGGGGCUACUGGCUGACUUCUGGGAGAAUGGGAAAGUACCAGGCCAUCCUCUUAGACAAUCCCAAUGUAACGUUUCAGGUCACUUCAGCCCUAAAGCCAGCCACCAUGGCUCCCGACUGCGGCUGCACAAUCCCCAGGGCACAGCUGCCUGCACGUCGUGGGGCUGGUGUACUCUGGCAGACCAGACUGAACAGACAACGCCUGGCUGCGGCAGGUACGGAACUGUUCACAGUAGCUGACGUGCUGGGUAUGUGGUGGUAACCCUUGGAAGGACUGACCCUCGCUAUGCAUUCUCCGUGGGGCAUGCUCACGGCGCCAUCUGGAAAGAAAGGGGGCUCCUCACUUCAAACAGUAAAGACAUAAAACAUGCUUCUGAAAUCUUGUCCCUGUUAGAAGCAGUCCUCAAGCCCUCACAAGUGGCCGUAAUGCACCGCCCAGGCCACCAGAAGGGUGAGACUCAUAUAACAAAAGGCAACCGGUUAGCUGACCAAGCUGCAAAGAAAAUAGCAAAGGCAGGCGAUUACCAAGCCAUCAUAGGGUCACUUCUCCCGCAGACUGACUUGUCAGAAUACCAGCCAGAAUAUUCAGAAAAAGACAAGGAGAGGGCCGAAGAGUGGGAAUGCACUCUUGAUCACACCUCGCCUGGCUAGAAAUGUAGUGCACAUGGAACUGACUUGAUUUCUGAGGCUUUCGUGGACACUGCUGCAGCACAUUCGUAACAGUACCCACCACGGGAGAGAUGCCGCCUUACAGUGGAUUCAAAAGUAUAUAAUGGGGCCUGACCUACAAAGGGCCAUCCAAGGAGUCACUGAAAAUUGCAUGAUUUGUGCUAAAAAUAACCCAAAUACUGCUGUCAGAUCUCCCCAGAUGGGGACCCAACACAGAGGACUCCACGAGCCACCAAGGACUGGCAAAUAGACUUCACUCAAGUUGAUAGGGACAGAGUAAGGGACAAAGUAGGCGGUUGAAUAGUUAAUCCCACUAGGGGACUGCAAGUAAAGAAAAAAGCAUGGGAGACCCCUGUAAGUUAAUGAUCACUCAAGAAAGCAGGUUUGCUUAACUACAAAACCAAGCAACAGAAGCCUGAGACACGCCCCCGAACAAUAAAACAAGGGUGGCAUGAGACCCACAUCUGCCCAGUGAGCUCAGUAAGUUGACCCCUAGACACGCUCCUCUGCGCACACUAAAAACAAGUAUAUAAGGAAAAGGUGACAUUAUGCUGAAAACUGAGAUGGUUUAUCAUAUCUUAGUAUAUGUUACCACCUUUUUUCCUCACUUCCGUUGCUCCAUGACAGUCCCAGUUUGGCCAUGUAGGGACAAGAAAAAGCCCCCACCCGAUGUGCAGGCGGAGCUGAGGAUGGAAGCUUGACGGCUACUCAAGAAUGAGGAAGGAGGUGGUCCUCUCCCCCUCCCCACUUCUCCUUUGAUUAUAAAACAGGAGCCCACUAAGUUCUGGGGGCGGCACCCUCUCGCCCACCCGCAAGCCUCACAAGCGUGCUAGUCUAAUAGAUCACUUUGCCUCUCCCUGAAGAACGAGCUCCUCAGAGCCCCCCAAGACACAUUUCAGUGGUUUCGGCUGGCGACCACAAAGGGGCAGUGGUAAGAUAAGAAGGAGGGGGGUCGGGUCCUAGAGGGGCCGUGGAUGCCAGGUGGACUGGGGAGGACACUCCCCCAAUGUGUGCCCCUUUUAGGCGACUGGUCAACCCCGAAUGCUUUAGGACUCUGAUGAGAGAUCUAGGACAGACCAGAGGAACAAGGAUAUGGAUGUUUAGAGACACGGAACCAGAGGAAUGCUGGCAGUCAGCAUGGCUUGCCACAGAAAGACGCUGUGGAUGUUUAUGGACCCGGAAGGACACGUCCAUUCUAGGUCUGUCCCUGUUGUACUCAAGUCUGUAAACUUAACUAUUCCAACUGUUAUUUAUAAACUGAUAAGUUUUGUUUUGCAAUGCCUGUCUUAUGAACAAGUUUUAAAAUGAAACUAUGAGAUCUCUGUCUGUCUGGAUAUAUGUGUGUCUUACGUGGUCUUGUCUUUAGAUAGUAUUGCUAAGGUUAAUUUGUAAAUGAGCUCAAUUUAAUUGGCUUAAAAAAGUAAGUGCUUACAAAUUAAACAUUUCUGAAUAUAAGAGAAACUAAGCUAAAUGGAUUUCAGAUUCACAUGACCUGAGAAAUAUUUAAUGUUAAAUUAAUAUCUGGUAUUAAAGUUUGUUGUUAUUAAAGAUUGUUAA